UUUAUGGAGAGUUUGAUCCUGGCUCAGGAUGAACGCUGGCGGCGUGCCUAAUACAUGCAAGUCGAGCGAACGGACGAGAAGCUUGCUUCUCUGAUGUUAGCGGCGGACGGGUGAGUAACACGUGGAUAACCUACCUAUAAGACUGGGAUAACUUCGGGAAACCGGAGCUAAUACCGGAUAAUAUUUUGAACCGCAUGGUUCAAAAGUGAAAGACGGUCUUGCUGUCACUUAUAGAUGGAUCCGCGCUGCAUUAGCUAGUUGGUAAGGUAACGGCUUACCAAGGCAACGAUGCAUAGCCGACCUGAGAGGGUGAUCGGCCACACUGGAACUGAGACACGGUCCAGACUCCUACGGGAGGCAGCAGUAGGGAAUCUUCCGCAAUGGGCGAAAGCCUGACGGAGCAACGCCGCGUGAGUGAUGAAGGUCUUCGGAUCGUAAAACUCUGUUAUUAGGGAAGAACAUAUGUGUAAGUAACUGUGCACAUCUUGACGGUACCUAAUCAGAAAGCCACGGCUAACUACGUGCCAGCAGCCGCGGUAAUACGUAGGUGGCAAGCGUUAUCCGGAAUUAUUGGGCGUAAAGCGCGCGUAGGCGGUUUUUUAAGUCUGAUGUGAAAGCCCACGGCUCAACCGUGGAGGGUCAUUGGAAACUGGAAAACUUGAGUGCAGAAGAGGAAAGUGGAAUUCCAUGUGUAGCGGUGAAAUGCGCAGAGAUAUGGAGGAACACCAGUGGCGAAGGCGACUUUCUGGUCUGUAACUGACGCUGAUGUGCGAAAGCGUGGGGAUCAAACAGGAUUAGAUACCCUGGUAGUCCACGCCGUAAACGAUGAGUGCUAAGUGUUAGGGGGUUUCCGCCCCUUAGUGCUGCAGCUAACGCAUUAAGCACUCCGCCUGGGGAGUACGACCGCAAGGUUGAAACUCAAAGGAAUUGACGGGGACCCGCACAAGCGGUGGAGCAUGUGGUUUAAUUCGAAGCAACGCGAAGAACCUUACCAAAUCUUGACAUCCUUUGACAACUCUAGAGAUAGAGCUUUCCUUCGGGGACAAAGUGACAGGUGGUGCAUGGUUGUCGUCAGCUCGUGUCGUGAGAUGUUGGGUUAAGUCCCGCAACGAGCGCAACCCUUAAGCUUAGUUGCCAUCAUUAAGUUGGGCACUCUAAGUUGACUGCCGGUGACAAACCGGAGGAAGGUGGGGAUGACGUCAAAUCAUCAUGCCCCUUAUGAUUUGGGCUACACACGUGCUACAAUGGACAAUACAAAGGGCAGCGAAACCGCGAGGUCAAGCAAAUCCCAUAAAGUUGUUCUCAGUUCGGAUUGUAGUCUGCAACUCGACUACAUGAAGCUGGAAUCGCUAGUAAUCGUAGAUCAGCAUGCUACGGUGAAUACGUUCCCGGGUCUUGUACACACCGCCCGUCACACCACGAGAGUUUGUAACACCCGAAGCCGGUGGAGUAACCUUUUAGGAGCUAGCCGUCGAAGGUGGGACAAAUGAUUGGGGUGAAGUCGUAACAAGGUAGCCGUAUCGGAAGGUGCGGCUGGAUCACCUCCUUU
rnacentral:rRNA from 1 species